rnacentral:rRNA from 1 species
AUUGAACGCUGGCGGCAGGCCUAACACAUGCAAGUCGAACGAUUGGCGGACGGGUGAGUAAUGUCUGGGAAACUGCCUGAUGGAGGGGGAUAACUACUGGAAACGGUAGCUAAUACCGCAUACCAUCGGAUGUGCCCAGAUGGGAUUAGCUAGUAGGUGGGGUAAAGGCUCACCUAGGCGACGAUCCCUAGCUGGUCUGAGAGGAUGACCCUCCACACUGGAACUGAGAAACGGGCAAGACUCCUCCGGCAUGAAGCAGUGGUGAAUAUUGCACAAUGGGCGUAAGCCGAAUGCAGCCAUGCCGCGUGUAUGAAGAAGGCCGUCGGGUUGUAAAGUACUUCCAGCGGGGAGGCGUUACCCGAAGAAGAAGCACCGGCUAACUCCGUGCCAGCAGCCGAGGUGAUAC